GCCACCUUCUCCCCGGCUGGAGCCCGGCGCCGUCCCGCCCCCCACCUUCUCCCCGGCUGGCUCCUGGCGCCGCCCCUCCCCCACCUUCUUCCCGUCUGGCUCCCGGCGCCGCCCCUGCUUCCACCCACCAUCGCCGCCACGCCCCUGCUUCCGGCUGCCAUCGCCGCCACGCCCCUGCUUCCAGUCGCCGCCACUGCUGCCCCUCUGCCUUCUUCCAUGGCGGACCAACCCUGUUGCCGUGCCACAUGGUCAAGGUCGCGUAGGAGAAGCUGUCCCUGGCCCAGCCGAUGUGGCCCGGCACCCGGAACGACAUUCUCGCAAAUUGAAGGCUGAUCUAGAGGCGUUGAAGAGGGAAUGUUCUGAGAAAUCGAAGCAACAGACUGAGCUAGCACUUGAACUGUUUGCUGCACAUGCUGAGCGGGAUUCCUACAGGCACGAAAUUGAAGAAUUGAAGUCAUCACGGCAAGAGUCAUCUCGGCAAGAGUCAUUUCAGCCAGAGUUAAGCAGACGGCAAAUAAAAUCUGUAACCCCCAAACGUGGGGACUGGAUCAACAUGGAGAAGGAAGUAGAAGACGAGAUGAAGUUUCUGAAAGAAUCAAAUGCAAGCUUACAGGUACAUUUGAAGAGCACUCAAGAGGCAAAUAUAGAGCUUGACCACCGCCGUGCCCCUGCGCCCUAACCAUCGCCGAUGUCCAACGCCAUGGUGCCUCCCAUGGCGGCCGUUCACUGCCGCCUCCCUGGGCUGCUCAACAACACAGCGCCGAGUCAUUCAACGCUGCAGCUCUACCGCCAUUAGCAACUCUGACUUUCAUGGUGUGGUUCCGGAGGUUCAGGGCUCCUUUGAUUCAAAGGAAUUGCAUAGGAUUUUUAGAGGAUUUGAACCCUUAGGAAAUUUUUCUUCUAAUGCUUGUUUGAUUCGUAGGAUUGGCAUCCUUAGGAAUUUUUCCAUAGUAUCCAUUUGUACUACAUUUUGAAGGAAAAUUUCCAUCCACUCAAACCUAUUUAUAGAAUUCCUUUGUUUUUCCUGCGCUAUCAAACAUUCUUUCAAAUCCUGUAGGAUACUAUAGGACAUGCCAUCCUAUUCCUACAUUUUUCCUAUUCCUUCAUUUUGACAAUCCUGCGAAUCAAAGAGGCCCUCAGUUUUUUCAGUGUAUGUUUUGUACACUUUUUAGUUCACCUACUUAACGAAUGCAUGUCUAGUUUCCUCUCUAUUUCCCCAUGUCAAUUGCUGAAAAUAUUAUCAAUCACGUCCCCCUCAGUCCAAGUAUGUUAGCCGCAUGAGAUAAAAAAAUCAGCUGCUUUUAACUGAAUAAAAUGUCACACAAGUUCAGUUAUAUCUGUUACAGGAGUUCAAAAAUCUGAAGAAACAAAGCUCAAACCAAGUUAAAAAAUUGUUUUCCUUCAUAAAUUAGUUGUUUUUUGGUUAAUUCACUGUUAUGGACAGUACAAAUACACACUGUUGUGUAGUACAUGUGUGUAUUGUAAUUGUGGUUUGGAGCUCAGAAAAAAGAUAACAAAAAGGUUCAUAGAAUAACCCAAAACAUUCGGUAGUUUUGUAAGCCCAAAUUUGAGUUCAACAUGUUUUCUAACAUCAUCUCAUUAAGAACCCCAGAAACGGUUCAAUGUGUGUGUUCAAAAAAAUAGUGUGGAUAUAUAUAAAAAAAUUAGUAGCUCGGCAAAAAUAAGUUUAACCGAUUCAGUGCAAGUUUUGCUUCUGAAAACUGGCAUUGUUCAUCAUGUACUGAUCCAUUUGAACUAUGGAUGUGUUUGAAAAAAUGGAUGUUCAGCAUGUACUGAAAAUGCCUUUAAAAAAUGAGUAAAUAGCAUCAGUGAGUUCUAGUACCUAUAUUGCAAAAGUUCAUUGACAAAAGAAAUAUCAGUACCUAUAUUGCAUAAGUUCAUUGACAAAAGAAAUAUCAGUACCUAUAUUGCAAAAGUUCAUUGACAAAAGAAAUGCAUGUCUAGUUUCAACUUUUUUUAACCUUUUUGUCUCUAAAUUCUGCAUCUUUUUUUUUGUUUACAGACUAUACACAUGAUACUUGUACUGGGACUAGAGUACAAGUAUUACUUCCAUGCAUGUUCAAUUGAAAAAACACUUUAAGUUUCAGGAAUUGAAGAAUUCUUUUAGGAAGAAAUAGCCUUUUGAGCUACUGUUGAUGGCUGGCAUUUGUGCCCCGAAGUACGAGUUUGGAAGGGCGGGAAGUUCUAUUGCUGGCAAAACAUACACUUUGUACAAAAGAAGGUGGUGGAAAACCAAUAAGUGCUACUACUGGUGUACACCAAGUUCAAGGAUUUUGCCAUGCUCGAGCAUCCACUGGCUCCGACCUCCACCCGCUGCCGCGCGCCUGGGAUCCGCAACCUCCAACCUCUCGUGGGCCUCAGCUGGUUUCUCUGUCCCGAAUGCCGCCGCGGGCCUCCCUGCAGGAUGGCUUCGGUUCCCUCUCCAGAUGCGUCUAUGCCAACCAUCUCUACAGGCUACCCUAUUCCUUCGCUGGACUACUCCUUCCACCAGCAGCCCCCCUAGCAAACCGCAUGUCUCAUAUUUGUUCUUAUUUUCUUGCAGGAUGCAUCAAAAAGCCAGAUUCACAAAUUCAUCUCCUAUAUGCUUUUCAGUUCAUGGACUUCCCAUUGAUAAAUACACUAGUUAGGAUCUUCAUUGCUGGAUCCUGUCGUCGGUGUCGAUAGCGUCCACGAGCACCAACACCUCACAUCCGGCAGUAAAAAGGACCGGAGGGAGUACUAGAUGUUCUUGUACUAAUGCUCAACAGUAAGUCCAUGUAUUACUACAUGAGAAGUAAAAAAAUUACUGCUAGUGAGAGUUCAUUUAAAUCACGAUGUCUGAAUCGAGGUUAGCCCCUGCCACCAUGCUCCUACACGGCCGGGUGGUCAUGAUGAUUAGCAGUACAUACACAAAACACCAAUGUUUGCUUGAUGGCCAUUCCUGAUCUACAUACUUACGUAAGAUGCAUACAUCUAUGCACGUGUAUUGAUGAAUUGGUUUACUAGUAGAACCUUGUAAAGAUAUUCCCACUUUAUUGUAUACACGUAGAUUUUUGAAAUUAGUGUCUGCUGAUGUGGCUCAUAUGCUUGAACUUACAUCUAUCAAAAAAUGACAUGUUAAUUUCAUGCACGGCCGCCGCGGUUUGCUUGCAUGUGUAGGAGUAAUAUGUAGUUGCAGAUUAGCUAUUACUCUCACUCGGCAUGGUUUGGAGGAGUGCUACCUAGUUGCACAUUGUAUCAGGUGUUUCUUUUACUGCUCUGCUGCUGAUUCUUGGACACAGUAUACUUUCUCAUAUGUUUCAUUAAAUAGAGCACAUGAAACCUAAGUCAGUACUUAGUAAUGUCAAUUUUGUGAUGCAUUUUCUUUCCGUUUAGGACCUGCACGAGUUUCGGCCAAGGAACCAUCAUCGGGAAGCAGGGUGUCCCCUGAGUUCUGUGCAACAACGGUCAUUGAACUCGGUAAGCCUUGCACAGAUAGCAUGUGCAAUGAUGAAUGCAUGAAGAUCUUUCCAGGUCCUGGCGACUGUGAGAAAGGCAAGUGCUUAUGCGGCUUUUGCUAAAGAAGAAAGGCCUAGCUUAACUGGCGUAGGAGUACUCAAAUCAGGUGUCGAUGUUGUGGAGGCUUUGGAUCUUUCCCUAGUUAUGGUGUACAUGAAUAAUAGUUCACAUGGAUAAAAUUUUUAGCUAUGGUGUAGCGGCUCAACAUGUAUUAUAUCAUCAAUGCAUAAAGAAACACGUACAAAGUUCAAUAUGUGUAUAGAGAAAUUUGAUACCAGUUCAAAGAAAAACAUAGCAUCAGUACUCAAUAUGUGUAUAAAGAAACAUCUACAAAGUUCUGUACAAGAAUAGGGCGAUGGUUUUUGUGUUGA